GAUGAAGAACGCAGCGAAAUGCGAUGAGUAAUGUGAAUUGCAGAAUUCAGUGAAUCAUCGAAUCUUUGAACGCACAUUGCGCCCGCCAGUAUUCUGGCGGGCAUGCCUGUCUGAGCGUCAUUUCAACCCUCAAGCAACUUCUGCUUGGUGUUGGGGAUCGGCCGUCAAACGCCGCCCCCGAAAUCUAUUGGCGAUCUCGCUGUAGCUUCCUAUGCGUAGUAGUAACAUCUCGCAUCUGGAGAGCGGCGCGGUCAUGCCGUAAAACACCCAACUUCUCAGGUUGACCUCAGAUCAGGUAGGAAUACCCGCUGAACUUAAGCAUAUCAAUAAGCGGAGGA
rnacentral:misc_RNA from 1 species